CGUCCGCCGACCGGCGGAGUCCCGCCCCGAAUCUGGGAGCCGGCUGACGGGGGCGGGGCCAGUUGCAAGGAUUGCGAGCCCUCUCUUUCUUCCAUGCAGCCCUUGGCGCUAGGCGAUGCUUCCUUUAAAGGAGAGCCGGACCCGGGGGACACCAUCCCGCAGCUCCUCCGGCCUGCCACCCCUCUCCUCCCCUACGGAUCUCCAGCUGAGUUUCCCCUUCAUGGCUCCAGCUGCAGGAGACUUGAUAGGGACUUCAUUGGGGAGGAGUGUGGAGACCUGUCCGGUGGUAAAGCUCCGGCCUUGCAUAGAGUGGCCUUAGGUUUGAUCGGUAGCCCAGCAGCAAAGGUGCUCACAUUCACAAUAGAGUUAAUGACGUCUUAACAAGUGUCAAUCCUUUUUCAAUAGUGGCAAUCCCCUUGCCCAUUCCCGGGAGGCCUUUGGAACGCAUUUAGUAAUCUCAGUUUCCUAAUUUGUAAAAAGGGGAUGUUGACGAUCCCUGCUGUCUGUCCUAUUCAAGAGGAAGUGGUGAGGUUAAGAGAAGGUAGUGUGAAAAUGGCUUUAUAAAGAGUUAAACCACCACUACCGAUGUUAACAAUAGAUGGUUUCCUCCUUGUCUCACAUAACCCAGGGGGGGCCUCCCAUUCUGCUGUGUAGCAGAGAAUGGCCUUAAACUCCUGAUCCUCCUGCCUCUACCUCCCAAGGUAUUACAAGCCUGAGCCUCCACGCCAAGGUUUUCAUAGCUUACCUUCUUACAUGAAGAUGUGAAAUAGAAAUCACAAAACACAUCUUCUGCUUCUCAGGCAUUUGCUGCAAAACACCCCAAAAGACAGAUGGAAGGAUGUUUAUCUUUGGGGCUCAGAUGUAUAUUUCCAAGUGCAACUGUAAAACCACAGAUGAAAUAUGUAUUUGGAAAAAAAGUAUAUCUUCUUUUAAAGAAAUUAGAUUUUUUAAAAUUUCAGCUUCUUUGAAUAGUUUCUAAAAGCUUUCAACCAUUUAUACCCAAAACGAUGUGCCAGUUUUGAUUCUGUUUUUCUUACCUCCAGAGUUAUGAGUCCCAGAAGACAAGGUCAUAAUAAAUUUAAAACAAUUGUGAUACGACUAUUAAUUUUUUUUUAACUUUUAUCGAAUACAUACUGUAUGCUAGGUACAGUCUAGACUUGAAGUUUUAUCUAAACAGCUUUGAGAUGAGCAUGCUGGACAAGAUGGUACCCAGCUGUAAUUCCAGCACUUGAGAUGCAGAAGUAAGGGAAUCAGAAGUUCCAGGGACAACCUUGGCUACAAAGCAAGUUUUAUAGUUCUAUUGAUGAUAAAUCUCCUUCCAAAUGAAUUCUUAGUUUGGUUUCUGUUGCUGAGAUAAGACCAUGAACAAAAGCAACUUGGGGAGAAAAGAGUUUACUUCAGCUUACGGUUACAGUUCAUCAUUUAAAAAAGUCGGGGCAGGAGCUCAAGGCAGGAACCUGGAGGUAGGAACUGAAGCUGAGACCAUGGAGGAGCACUGUUUACUGGCUUGCUCAGCUCUCUUAUACCACCCAGGACCAACCACCAACUUAUGGGUGGCACCAACCCACAGUGAUCUGGACCCUCCCACAUCAAUCAUUAAUCAGGAAAAUGUCCCACAGACCCUACAGGCCAGUCUGAUGGAGGUCAAUUGAGAUUGAGAUUCCCUCUUCCCAGAUUACUAUAGCAUGUGUCAAGUUGACAAAAACAAAACAAAACAAAAACAACAAAAUAAACAAACAAAAAAAAAACAAAACAACCUAACCAGGACAAGUGUCAACUAAUAAAUGUAUAUGAAUGAACAGAUGUUAAAACUAUUAGGCAACUGGGUUAUGGGAAUUUUGAGGGCCACAUCCUGUCACCUACCCAUAGCUCAUUUAUUAUUGACAAAAAAAAAAAAAAAAAGGUUAACUUUAUAGAAGAGAUCAGGCUGUUACCACAU